GGGGCGGGGAGAGCAGGGAGACACAGCCAAGAGCCAAGAGCAGCGCCUCCUCGCCUGCCAAUCCUGGCACCUGUGCACCGAGCCACUGCACCGAGGAGGACCCCACUCCGGGCGAACCCCAGGCUUGAAGCCACGGACACUCAGCCCGUUGGCAGCGGGUUCUCACCGGAAGGACCUGCAACCACACACUCGGGCCACAGCCGUCGCCUGCAGCCGCGGGAGCGCCUGGCCCUUCGGAACCGCCCGCUGCGCCUGGGUCUCCGGGGAUCCUCGCCCAGGAAAGGCGCGGCAGCGGGCCGAGGGUGUUACAGAGUUGGGUGCAAGAUUCGCCUUUCCUGCUCAUCUCUUCUCCGCCCAGGAUUUAUUGUCUGUGGAGCCUUCUGGGGGUGGGGAGGGAGCUGCGCCUCCGCCACCGCCGCCGCCGCCGCCGCUGCUGCUGCGGUCGCUAGCGCGGCGCGCAGGGCAGGCGGAAGCUGGGGAGUGGAUGCGCUCCUGCCUCCCCCGCCAGCGCUUCGGGUUUCCCCUCGGCAGCUUCCCGCCGGAACCUCUCCAGCCGUCCACCUGAAGGACACCGGCACCAUGGUCUAACGUGGCCCCUGCCUGGAAUCCCCUCAUUCGCCUCCUCUUCUUCUUCGCCCCUCCUAUCCUCCGAGGACCCUCGUGCUCACUCCACUGCGGACCCCGGAACACUUUAAGGAAUAACCCUUGGCAGCUGCACGAUUCACUCUCUCCAGAACCUCAUGGGCAGUUUCUCUCGCCGGUGAUGAUGGAGAACCUAAUAAGGGGAAGGAAUCCCCCCCAAUAUCAGAGAAGUCCUUGUAAAGAAGUCCGUGCAGCACUUCGGAAGAGGCCCGAAGAGGAGUGUAAGUAUGUUUCAUAGGAUUAACUGUGUUCUAGAUAGACUUUGGUGAGUAACAGAGCAAAGCUCAAGGAUUAACCUUUAAGUGGUAAGUCAAAUAACAGAGGUUCUUAACAAAUACUUGUUGAAUCUAAUUGAAUUUUUUUAAAGAAACCUAUUAUCACAUGGUACCUGGACUCAGGCUAUAAGAACAUUGUUUCCUUGAAUGUUUCUCUUGCACUUCAAAAUGCUCUGCUGAUAAUUUGGUUCCAUGUUCAAAUGGGAUUGAAAAAGCCUGCACAGUUUACCACAUCUUUCUUGGAUAUGUAUUCCAUGAAUAUUAAUGUUUCUAAGAAGUCCUAAAGUAAAAAAAAAAAAAA
rnacentral:lncRNA from 1 species